CUUGACUAGGCCAGAAGUUGAAG
rnacentral:piRNA from 1 species